ensembl:lncRNA
UUUUGUGUGCAAGUCAACCGCUCUGGCACGAAUCUUUGCAACAGAGGGAAAAACAUAAAUAGCAAGACUUUUAAUAUGUAAUAUGCUCCUCGCACACAAGAUUCCAAAAGUCAAGAGCUUAAUCUUUCCACAGACAAACUCAUGAUUUGAACGCAGAACGCGACAGAGGGAAGCAGGGCCUUUGAGGGGUUCGGGACAGUCCAUGUGGCGCAUGCAGCUCUACGCUUUGAGAGCCGCCUGCCGCCUGAAACAGUUGCCCCGUUUUGCCCAACGGUAGGGCCGGCCCUCUGCGACGUCCUUCAGCUCCAGCUGCUCUUUGACACCAACCAAGCGUUGUUUGGGCGAAAGGACCCGCUUUUCGAAGGUCUCGGGGACUUUUUGCUCCCUCUCACCCUUUUUUGGGAAACUCAAGCAGUAGAGGCUAGCCCUCAAAUGUGAAGAAACCGGGAAAAGAUCAUGCUUUAAAGAAUAAUAAUGGAAAAAAAAAAUCCUACAGUGGCCUGUCUUAAAGCUGUGAAGAAAUGGGAUUGCAUAAAAACAAAAACCUAGGAGGGGAAGAAGAAAAGGAAAAAAAAAACACCACUCUCUGGCUGGUAAUAAUGGGAAAAAAAAAACAUCCUGCAGUGGCCUGUCUUAAAGUUGUGAAGAAAUGGGAUUGCAUAAAAACAAAAACCUAGGAGGGGAAGAAGAAAAGGAAAAAAAAAACACCACUCUCUGGCUGGCGGCUGCUGGAGAGGGGAUGGUGCAACCUAAUUAUGGGGGGGGGGAGGAGAGUAGCCAGGUUGGAUUGCACCCCUUGGGGGGGUGAAGGGGGCGGAGGAUGGAGGGAGGGUGGCAGGUUUAUAGCAAGCAGCACCAGGGUAAGAAUGCUGAUUGCUUUCUGCAUGCUUAUUUCUACUCCCAGCUACAAAAACUCUGCGAAGCCCCCAAACCAUGCAGCUUGCUUUCUCCGUGGCUGUGGUCCUCGUGGCAUUGUCUGUUGUGGCAGGUAGGAACAAAGAAACACAGUGACUCUCCUUUCACUUCUGAGUAUAACCAAGCUGGUUGGGAGAUGCUAGAAGCUGUGAUAGAGUAAUACAAAGAUAGACAGACACAUACACUCACAUACACAUAGGCACAUUGCAGAUGUGUUGGACCACAGCUUCCAGAAUCUCACAGCCAGUGGUGCAGACUAUGGUAUUCUGGGAGUUGUAGUCAUAUCUGCAGGAUGCCAGGAGGGAAAGAUUGUUUGCCAUAUGGAAACUGUUGCAGAAUUUUGAAUUUUUGGUUAAAUUCCUCUAGCUGUGCAGGAGAAGUGCAUGGAUUCACAGAGCAGAAUACAGUGGUGCCUUGCUAAACGGGUGCCCGUUUAACGAUGAGAUCGCAUAGCAACGAAGAUUUUACAAUCACCUUUGUGAUCACAUUGCAAUGUUUUAAAUAGGGAAAAAUCGCUUUGCGAUGAUUGGUACCCUGUUUCGCUUACCGAUCAUCGCAAAGCAAUGAUUUUUAACAGCUGAUCAGCGGUUCCAAAAUGGGCGCCGGGUAAAAAAAAAAAAUAGCCGCCUGCUGUUUUCUGGGAUGGAUUCCUCGUUUACCGGGCAGCGAAAACGGCCGCCGUAUGGAGGAUUUUCGUUUAAAGGUGAGUCUGAAGCCCAUAGGAACGCAUUGAAGGGGUUUCAAUACAUUCCUAUGGGCUUUUUAAAAUCGCAUAGCGACGAAAUCGCUUUGCAGCGAUUUUUGCUGCACCAAUUAUCGUCGCUAUGCGAGGUACCACUAUAGCGUCACAUUUCCACAGAUUAAUCCACCCCUUUUUCUCAUUAACUGGCACUUACAGUCUCAAUAACCCGUGGUGAGGUAUUAGUAGGAGAAAGAAUAGAAGGUUUAAUGACUUACAGUUGAACAGAUCAAACAGCAAAUGGACAAGCACGCCUACUUUCAACAACAGACUUCAGCAGACUAUAAGAGAGGGGGAAAGCACCAAGCAGAGAUCUGGGACUCUCUUUGAAUUCAGAGGCAGGGAAAGAACAAUUAGUUAGAGCUGGAUAGAUUGACAGUCCCUGCAGCCCAGAAAGGAGCCUCCCAGCCAAACCUACUAA